rnacentral:lncRNA from 1 species
AAUGUAAAGUACUACUUCUGCCACCAAAUGCAGAAUUGAUAAAAAUUUGUGAAUUCCUGAAAUCAUAAUCAGUAAAAGAGUGGGUCUUAUAUUAUACUAGAUCUACUAACCAAAGUUGAAGCCUGGCGUCUGUGUUGUGGGGUUAGAGGUUCCAAACUGAGUGCCUGAAAUGGCUGCGCCGAAGUUGAAUCCUCCAGUGGCUGGCUGGGCAGGGGUAGCAGGGGCCUGCUGUGUGGACACACCACCAAACGAGAAAGUUGGGGCGGAGGCUGGGAGUAUGCCGACAGUCUGGGUGGCAGAGCCAAAGGCCGGGGCUGCUGGGGUGCCCGUGGUGUUGCCAAAUGCAAAACCUGUGGAGUUUGCUCCAAAUGCCAGCUUAGUGGUGGUCCCAAAGGUAGAGGCCGCCGUAGUGGCAGCCGCGCCAAAAGCAAAAGGAGCAGGGGUGGCCCCAGUGGCAGGUGACCCAAAUGUGAAAGGAUUAGCUGCCGCAGUAGCAGCCGGGGCCUGAAUCGCACUGGGGAACGCCGAUGCCGCCGGAGCUUCGAACGACGACUUCCCAAACGUGAAAGUGGACUGGUUUGCAGGUGCAGAAGCAGUAGCAGUGGCUGCGGCUGCAGUGGCCAUGCCAAAGCCACCGAAGGAUGCGGUGGUAGAGUUCUGGGUGGCUACAGGCUGGCCAAAGGUGAAUCCCCCCUGGGCGGUGGCUGAGGGGGCAGGUUGAGUGGCGCCAGAGGUGGUGGUCAUCGCACCAAACGAAAAGCCGCUGUUGCUAGUGGUGGCGGCUGUGGUGGAGCUGAGGGUGGGUCCAGGAGCUGUGGUGGAGGCGGUGCCGAACUGGAAGGUACUUCCUGUGGCAGGGGCAGUGGUUGUGGCAGCAGUCGUUGCAGGCAGCGCACUCCAGUUUCCAAACAGAGACUUGACAGAUGGCGGGGCGGCUGGGUUGGUGGAGGGGGCGGUGCUAUUAGACAGCCCAGUGAACAGGGAGGCGGCUGGGGCCACUGUACUACUGUUGGUUAGCCUGCUGAACACUGUGGCAGAUGCACUGGCAUUGGAGGGGGCUGAGGUGGAGGCUGGCUGUCCGAAAGCACUGGUGGCUGUGGCACUUCCAAAUAUGGGUUUAAAGGUGGGAAGAGCAGGUGUGCCCUCUGAGGCUGGGGCCGUGGCCCCGAAGAUGGGCUUGAACACCGAGGCCAGGAGGGGAUUAUUACUACUGGUUGUUUCUGUGGUGGCGGUUGUGGUUGUGGUGGGGGCCGGUGAGGAGGACGGGGCAGUCAGUGGAUUGGCCAUUCCAAACAGGCUUGCUCCACCCAGGAUGGGGACACUGCUGGGGGCCUUGGUGACUUGGCUCAGCGCCUGGGUGAAGGCAGAGGGCAUGGUGCUGGCAGGCUGGGAGAGGGAGGGUAGUGCAGGCUGGGAGAGGGAGGGUAGUGCAGGCUGGGAGAGGGAGGGUAGUGCAGGCUGGGAGAGGGAGGGUAGUGCAGGCUGGGAGAGGGAGGGUAGUGCAGGCUGGGAGAGGGAGGGUAGUGCAGGCUGGGAGAGGGAGGGUAGUGCAGGCUGGGAGAGGGAGGGUAGUGCAGGCUGGGAGAGGGAGGGUAGUGCAGGCUGGGAGAGGGAGGGUAGUGCAGGCUGGGGAGCAGACAAGCUGGUCUUCGACUUCUGCUCUGCAGGCACCAGUGGUGCAGGGGGUGUCACUGCUGUCACCAAGGAGACAGCCGGAGCGGGAGGGAAAACAAGAGAAAAAUAGACUUUUGAGUAACAACUCAGAUAAACGAACCGUCACUCAACGGCAACUACCAAACAAAAGUGGCUCUCAACUUUAAAUUAUUGCUAUGUGAUUAACAGACCUGUAGUAUUGUCAGCAGCAGCACUGGUGAGGGGGUUGUUCCUCAUCAUUUUCAGAGACUCCAGGAGGGGGUUGGUGACGGGGGAGGCUGUGGAGGUUGGGGCCAUGGUGACAGUGCUUGAGGGGACGGGGUCCAGGUUGAUGACGGGGAUAGGAGCCGCCACACUAGCAGGCAUUGAUACGGUAAGAUGGCUGGCCUGCAGGGUGGGUGUGGGGUUGCCUGACACAGGAGGCUUAGAAGAUGUGGUCACUACUGGAGCAGGCUUCUCUGGCUCUGGAACAAAAGAAAUGGCCCAAAAUCAAUAUCUUAUAUUUUUUGGGACACUGGUUUAGAAAAGUUGGGAAUUGGCAAUAUUCACCGGGCUCUUUGAGGACUGUGUUGAUCUGGCUGAGAGCAGCUUUCUUCUCCUGAUCCAGGUCUUUCACCGUGAUGGUGUAGCCCAACUCAGGAGGUGGAGGCUGCAGACAACAUCAAUGUUAAGACUUCCUGUUUGUCAGAUGAUUAGCUACAUGUCCCAUUUGAGGACAUGUUCUAUUAUGCAGUAUUUCUCACCAAAGAGAUUAGGUCUCCUCUACGGCUGGACACCAGCGGAAUCUUACGUUUCCGUUUCCCACUACCGGCAGAGCCUGACGAGGCUGAAGCCACAGGGACUUCAGGGGCCGGAGCCAGCUUCCCUGUAACAGGACAUACAGUGCAUUGACUUAAUGUGGUGGCUACCGUUAUUUUGAAUCAAAACUUAAGUCUCUUUUGGGACGUGACUAAAGCCCUGAACCUGAUCUGAAGUGGAAAACGCAUCAUAAACAUGUUCUAACCAGUGGUUGGUGCUGGGUCUGUCAACGUCUUGUCAGACCUCUCCAAGGACACAGAGCUGGGUGAGCGAGCGUCCUCUUCCCUGACCUGGGCUUUUUAGAGGCUCUCUCUGGGGUCUGGGACCGGGACGACCCAGGGCUGGAGAGCGGGGAGAGACUGCGGGUAGAGGCUUUUUUCCACUUUAAAACAAACGUGAAAAUUAGGUUUAGGUUGGCACUCACCCCAGUUUUCUGACAAAAUACAUCAGUGUAGGUCAGC